GGUAAUUUGUUAUAGCAGUGAUAGGAAAUGAAAACCCACAGAAUCAGACAGAGUCCCACCCUCACGAGUCUAUGGUCUGAGAGAGGAGACAGGCACAAAACCAGGUGCUAGUCGACAGAGUAAGAGAGGCUGUGAAAACACAAAGGAGGAAUACCCAACCUACACUUGGGCAUGGAGGGAAGAUUUUCUCUUGGAAACUCCAUGAAGGCAGGGACCAGUAUUGACCCAGGCCAUACUCAUGUCCCUCCCCUUCAGCAAUGAUUGAGGACCUACCUCCUCGGUUAUCAUUUUGGUUUCAAAAUAGACAAGGGAACAAGAGAAACAUCAGAAAGUCUGAUCAAAGUAGAAGCAUCAUGUGUCUAUCAACGUAUCCACUGUGCUUGGUAAGUGGCAGUCUCUUGUCCUGUAAGAGACUUGGGCUUUGAAAAGGGCUUUGGAUCUCAGAUCUGUUGACAUGAGGCUUGUCAUGAACCUCAGUUUCCUCAUCUCCAAAACUGCUAUAGG
rnacentral:lncRNA from 1 species